GGAGGGAGGAAGGUCACAUAAAGGUGCGUCAAGCUGUGGGCGAUGGGGGCCCAUGACUAUGGGGACCCUCAGAGGAACCGUGUGGUACAUGCCUCUGCCCCCCACCUGCCCCUUAUUGGUCAAGAGCCACCUCUGUGAGCCAGAAGCAUCCCUGCCCUCCAGCUGGUCUGACUCCCGGGCUGAGCAAGCUCCCGUGGGUCAGAGAAAGCCAGAGCAACCCGGAGAAAUGCGCUUCCUGCAGCGGGAGGUGGGGGUUCUCGGGAGCUGUCCGCUUCGGCCGGUGGUGAACUGAGCCACGGCUGCAAGGACUCUGGGAUUGGACCUCAAGAGCCCCUCUCCAUCCCCAAGCCCUCCGCUGCUCUAACAUUCUGGAUCCUCCCUUCUUUCCAGGCAGCUCAACUCGGGUUCCAUAAGCAUUUGCGUCUGUCGGGUUCAUGGCUGCAUCUCCAGAAUCUGGAACAGUGCCUGUCAACACGUAUUGCAUGGAAUAAACUGGCCGCCCGAUGGGCAUCUUUCUUGGUUGCGCGCGCCCGGUGCUCUGGGCCCCGAGCUAGCCCUGGGGAUACAACGUUGAAUCGGGCUUGGUCCCUGCCUUUAGGAGCUUGCUGCACGGAGGGAGCAAUGCGAUCGCCACCAUUGAUGAGACUCUGUUGUGCAGGCCAGCUUCGCGUCGGUCGCCUUAUUUCAGCCUCCGAUAGCCACGAAGGGCCCGUGCGGUCGUGCCUAUCUCACGGGCGAGCAACUCAAAGCUCAGAGAGGUACCACUGUGCUCGGGUGAUCAAGGACCCAGACUCUGAAGCCUGGAUGUGGCUCUGGGACUUCGUCCCAGUGUGACUUGUGGCAUCUUACUCCACCUCUCUGUGCCUCGGUGUCUCGUUCUGUAAAAUUGGAACAAUAGUGACGGUUUCAGAGAGUUGUGCUGAGGAAGAAAUAAGGGGAUGGACAUGGGGAGCGUUGAAAACCGCUCCAGGCACAUAUAUAUAGUCACUA